AGAGUCACUAGAAAAAAUUUCAGAGUACCGCAAAGGUCGGGAUUUGACUGGCAACACUGAGCGGCCACCGCCAUACACCUUCCAAGCCGACUGCGUCGCGGGAAGGCCGCUGUGUUGGAAGAGCUUGAUAUUCGGCGACAUAUCGGGUUGAGUGUUUACUGAAGUACAAAUACUUUGUGCCCGGAGAUAAUGGUUGCCAAGAACGAAAAGGACAUGUUAUUUUGGCGAUGUUAUCCAGCCGGUGGUUGUUUUGCACGCCGAUCGUGUUUACACCUGGAACUGUGCUACGAUUGCGGGCAGCAGCUUAGCGCUGCUAUCGCGAGCUUAUGCACGCGUUUUUUUUUCCCUUCCGCGGAGCAAGCUACGAAGAAAACGUUUCGUCACUUCGAGCCGCAAUGAGGCAAGCUUGUGCUUUUGGGCAUGAAUAUCGAGGACCGCCGUCGGCUUCUACUGAAUGUUUCCAAGCAGGACGAAACACCCGACAGUGUCACAGCUGAAUGGCACCGACAGAGACACAGGUAGCCAACGGAGCACACGGAGGUCCUCAUCUGGCACCACUGGGAAGGCACAGCAUUACACAAGAAAGGAACCCUCUUACAACUCAUAAGAACGGGCGCUGGUGACUGGUGCCAGAACCUGCCCCACAAGCCUUGUUUCCUAGCAAAUAUGCAGGAAAGACAGUGAACGUGGGCUCCACGGCUGCAAUGAGGGUUCUGACCUGAUCAACGUUGACUUUCCCCAUGACAAGAGACUCUUCAUUCACCCUGAAGUAUGUCUCCACACACUCAGUGAGGUGCAUAAUAUUUUCGGAUGGUGUGCAAAGAGAUUGCUUGUCUGGAAUGUAGUUCUUGAGUGCCAAAAACCUGUUUUCAUUCUUUGCCGGCUGAACCAAUAAAGUUGUGCAACUCUCA